UCGCCUGUUUUAUCAAAAACAUGUCUUUAUGAGGUUUUUUUAAAGUUUAAUCUGCCCACUGAAUUUUAAAUGGCCGCAGUAUAUUAACUGUGCAAAGGUAGCAUAAUAAUUAGUCUUUUAAUUGAAGGCUGGUAUGAAUGAUUGGACGAGGUAUUAGCUGUUUCAUAUAAAUUUAUAUAAGAAUUUUAUUUUUUAGUAAAAAAGCUAAAAUUUAAUUAAAAGACGAGAAGACCCUUUAAAUCUUUAUAUUUAAAUUAAUAUAUUUUAUAGGAUUAUUUUUAUUAUAAUAAUUAAUAAUAUUUUAUUGGGGUGAUAUUAAAAUUUAAAUAACUUUUAAUUUUUAGAAUCAUUUAUUUAUGAAUUAUUGAUCCCUUAUUAAGGAUUAAAAAUUUAAGUUACUUAAGGGAUAACAGCGUAAUUUUUUUGGAGAGUUCUUAUCGAUAAAAAAGAUUGCGACCUCGAUGUUGGAUUAAAAUAUAAUUUUAGGUGUAGCUGCUUAAGAUUUAAGUCUGUUCGACUUUUAAAAUUUUACAUGAUCUGAGUUUAAACCGGUGUAAGCCAGGUUGGUUUCUAUCUUUAAUAAAUUAAAAUAUUUUAGUACGAAAGGACCUAGUAUUUAAUAAAUUAUUAUUUUUAUUUUGAAUAUUAUUAAAUUUGU
rnacentral:rRNA from 1 species